rnacentral:rRNA from 1 species
AGAGUCCACAUCGACGGGGAGGUUUGGCACCUCGAUGUCGGCUCAUCACAUCCUGGGGCUGUAGUAGGUCCCAAGGGUUGGGCUGUUCGCCCAUUAAAGUGGUACGCGAGCUGGGUUCAGAACGUCGGGAGACAGUUCGGUCCCUAUCCGUCGCAGGCGUAGGAAAUUUGAGAAGACCUGUCCUUAGUACGAGAGGACCGGGAUGGACGUAUCUCUGGUGUACCAGUUGU